ensembl:lncRNA
GUUUUUCCUUUUCAUGUCAAAAAAGGGAUAUACGAUUUUUUUUAAAUGCUUUGAUUUUCGUUUUAUAUUUAGAAUAACAAGAAAGUAAAAUCAGUAAGAGACAGAAACGAAAAAAGGUCCGAUUUUUCAUUUUCUGAGACCGGAAGUGGUCAUCAGCAAGUGUGGAGCCAAACGACAACAAGAUUCUCGGAGGGCGGAGCCAGAGAGCAGUGAUUGGUCAGACCAUAGAUAAUAUAGAAGACAGCGCGCUAGCGUAUCUAGUCUAUGUGUAUCUAUGGUCGGCACGUCUGGUAGCAUCUCUGGCUGCUGUUGAUCUUGUUUUUGGAGUAAAACACGGUGGAAGCUGAAUUAGUGAGGAUGACUCCUGCUCCUGUCAUCUCUAAGCUCCUCACACAUCUUUACCUGCACAUGAGGAAAAUCACUCCUGUAGAAUGCAGUCUGUAGCUGCUGAAUUCAUGGAUGAAUCAUCUGGCACUAGAGAAGAAGACCAUCAAACAUCCACGUCAGCUGAUGGAGGUCCAAGAGUCUCACCCAACAAACAACCUACAGAGUGAAGACCUCAAAUCUGAUUGGACGGCCUCCUAUUCAGCCAUAUGUGUGAACAAAUGCCUCUAAGCUGAUUUGUUUUCUAAAAUAAAUCUAGUUUGAGUCCUAAUCUAUGCCUAUGUGUUUGCUUCUUUACACCGCUGUUAACAGUUUAGACUGUUAGGUUGUUCCAGAUAAGACAAGUACAAGAUACUUCAGAGCCGUUCUACCACGAGCCUGACAGGAAGAACUCCAACAGUUACUGAAUGUUCCUGUGGUCCCCUCAAGGCUACAGGAGGAGCCCUACGAGGACGAGCCGGUACACCUGAUGGCGGCCAGUCGCUGUGGUUCAAAGCCAACACCGACUACGUGGACUUCUACUGGACCACAUGGAGACCUUCAAACCGGACCAACAAGUUCAGCGACUUCCCCGACUCGUGGGUCUGAGAACGCCGCCGAGCCUCGGUCCAGCCGGCCUCCUGUCUGUGGGUGUUUGAGUGCUGAGAGGUUUGUGGAUGCAUGUGAACGUUCUGUGUUGAAACAGCAGCUUUUGACUCAGUAACGCCAGGAAAAACCAAGAGCUCCUUUAUUUGUGACUUCCACUGAAAAACUGAUGAAAAUAAGUUUGCAAGGGUUCUGACUGAUAACAGAUUAUUAAAUAAUGAAAAUAACAGUUUAAAUAUUCCUUUAAACAAUCCUUUUAGGUCUACAUUUCCUUUACACUGACUUCUUGGUAUAUGUACAAGUAUUUUGAGUGGAAUAUACCAUUAAGCCCAAUGUUCAAGGGUUCUUCUGGGAAUAUACCAUUAAACCAACCUUUUAGGUAAAUGUUGCAGGAUGUUGAGUAGAAUAUACCAUCAGAUCAACCUUUUAGGUCUACAUUGUAAGAUUUUAGAGUAGAAUAUUACUCCAAACCAUCCUUUAGGUCUACAUUUAAGGAUUUAAGGACAUUCAAAUAUUUAAGGUGGAAUAUUCCUUUAAACCAACCUAAAUUUCAUGUUUUGAUCAUUAUCAAGUGAGAAACCUCAAUCCAGACUCCUCAUAAUGACGUUUGAGAUUUAUGCUGCCGUUAUUUUUUUAGUCCAGACUAAAUGACAGAAAUCCACAACUGUAAUUUUAUUUCAGGACUUGGUUAUUAAAUGUCAGAACAAUCCAUGUGACUCUAAAAACUCAACAGCUUCACAAACUCUAAGAUUAAAUUCUCCACAAGGAUCCAAAAUAAGUUGGACUUCUAUAUGAGAGCUUUAAUUAUUCUUCAUCUACUUCCUGAAAAGUUUGGUCAAUAAAAAAGACAAAAACUAAUAUUUUCAGCUGAACUAAAGACAGACUUUGUGAUUUUUCUGCUCACAUGUUGUGUUGUUGUAAACUUACUCUUUCAAAUAAAUACCUGCCUAACCCCCUGGAAACCAGCGUUUGUCCUGUUUUUGUGUUGCUCCUCGGCGACCCUAGACAGCCGGGUC